UACGUAGGGGGCAAGCGUUGUCCGGAUUUAUUGGGCGUAAAGAGCGUGUAGGCGGCCAGGUAGGUCCGUUGUGAAAACUCGAGGCUCAACCUCGAGACGCCGAUGGAAACCAUCUGGCUAGAGUCCGGAAGAGGAGAGUGGAAUUCCCGGUGUAGCGGUGAAAUGCGCAGAUAUCGGGAAGAACACCCGUGGCUAAGGCGGCUCUCUAGUACGGUACUGACGCUGAGACGCGAAAGCGUGGGGGGCAAACAGG
rnacentral:rRNA from 1 species